UACGUAGGGUGCAAGCGUUGUCCGGAAUUAUUGGGCGUAAAGAGCUCGUAGGCGGUCUGUCGCGUCGGAUGUGAAAACCCAGGGCUCAACCCUGGGCCUGCAUUCGAUACGGGCAGACUAGAGUUCGGUAGGGGAGAAUGGAAUUCCUGGUGUAGCGGUGGAAUGCGCAGAUAUCAGGAGGAACACCGAUGGCGAAGGCGGUUCUCUGGGCCUUACCUGACACUGAGGAGCGAAGGCCAGGGGAGCAAACGGG
rnacentral:rRNA from 1 species